UGCAUUUCUGUGGAGGUACGGGAAUGGUUUGAUCUGGAGAGUACGAUGUACCCCUGACGUCCCAAAGAGCUGACCUGGGCACCAUCAGAGGUAGCUGUAAAGAAAGAACAUUUAGUAAAUGUGUGAAACAUUCCUGAGCUUGAGACGAGAGCCGAUAAGAGUCGAUGGUUGACCUGGAACAAUUGCAGAAGAAGACGAAGAUAGUGACCAUCGACCAUAUCAGGCAGAUACACGGUGAAAAAGGUUCGGAACCAGCCUUUGUGCAGUCCAUGCUCACUGACCAAUGUCUCUAAAGGGAGUCCUGACAUGAGGAGUGUGUUUUAUUGUUCCCUUGCGUUGUG